rnacentral:rRNA from 1 species
UACGAAGGGUGCAAACGUUGCUCGGAAUCACUAGGCGUAAAGCGCAGGUAGGCGGUUCGGUAAGUCUCUUGUGAAAGCUCCCGGCUCAACUGGGAGAGGUCAAGGGAAACUACCGGGCUAGAGUGUGGCAGAGGAAGCUGGAAUUCCCGGUGUAGCGGUGAAAUGCGUAGAGAUCGGGAGGAAUACCUAUGGCGAAAGCAGGCUUCUGGGCCGUCACUGACGCUGAUCUGCGAAAGCUAGGGGAGCAAACAGG